rnacentral:tRNA from 1 species
GGGGAUGUGGCUCAGUGGUAGAGCGCUCGCUUUGCAUGUGAGAGGCCCCGGGUUGAAACCCCGGCAUCUCCA